GGGAAAUUUGGACCCGGCCCACAGGGAAAGUGGGAUCGAGCCAUUAGGUGUGCAGGCGUUCUCCAAUGCCAGCCAUAUUGGGGGAGAGGGGCGUUCGAGGAUCGUAAGGCCCUGGGCCAACAGGGACGCCCUAUAGUAAAGGGAUAUAUUGGGAACACCCAGACCUCCUUUUGUGAACGGGCGCCAUAGUGAGUUUUGCGCUAUCCUGGGGGGUUUCCUCUUCCAAAUAUGAGCAUUGAUCAUGGCCUGGAAUUUCUUUAGGAGCGAGUUUGGGAUUGUAAUGGGGAGAGUGCGGAAUAAGUAUAAAAUGUGUGGGAGGAUCAUCAUUUUUACAGUGUGGAUACGUCCUAACCAGGAGAUCUCCUUCUCCUCCCAGGACUUGAGGAGUUGCUCUAGUUUGUGAAUGAGUGGCAAGUGGUUUUCGUGCGUUAAUGCUGAGAGCCUCGUUGGCAAUUUAAUACCCAAGUAUGAAAUGGAGGAGUUCCGCCACUCAAACGGGUAUAGUGUUUUUAGAGGGUUUAAAGAGGUAGGUGGCAGUCCCAAUGCCAAUGCUUGUGUUUUUUUGGCGUUGUUUUUAUAGAACGAGACCUUACCGUAAGUUUCCAGCAAAGUUAGUAGGUUUGGUAAGGAUUUUGCUGGACGUGAUAAGAAGAGAAGGACAUCGUCAGCGAAUAGGGCUAUUUUUUGAGUCCCGAUGGGGGUAGAUAGGCCUUCGAUCGAAUUGUCAC